AUUGAACGCUGGCGGCAGGCCUAACACAUGCAAGUCGAGCGGAUGAAGGGAGCUUGCUCCUGGAUUCAGCGGCGGACGGGUGAGUAAUGCCUAGGAAUCUGCCUGGUAGUGGGGGAUAACGUCCGGAAACGGGCGCUAAUACCGCAUACGUCCUGAGGGAGAAAGUGGGGGAUCUUCGGACCUCACGCUAUCAGAUGAGCCUAGGUCGGAUUAGCUAGUUGGCGGGGUAAAGGCCUACCAAGGCGACGAUCCGUAACUGGUCUGAGAGGAUGAUCAGUCACACUGGAACUGAGACACGGUCCAGACUCCUACGGGAGGCAGCAGUGGGGAAUAGUGGACAAUGGGCGAAAGCCUGAUCCAGCCAUGCCGCGUGUGAAGAAGGUCUUCGGAUUGUAAAGCACUUUAAGUUGGGAGGAAGGGCAGUAAGUUAAUACCUUGCUGUUUUGACGUUACCAACAGAAUAAGCACCGGCUAACUUCGUG
rnacentral:rRNA from 1 species